GCCGAUGUAGGGAAGAAAAAUCAUGCUAUAUACUUGCCCUUUCCCCACGGAGUCAUUGGAGUGUACACGUGCGAAUCGGAUCGUCUGUUCCAGGACGCGCAGACGAUGCUCACGACAACUAUCAAAACGACCAGUAUCGCGAUAAGGACAAGGACGAUGAUGAGGUUAAGACUGUUGGAGUCUACGUGCGAUAUCGUGACGUCGUCGUGUUCGUCGUGCUCGUCGUGGUCUCGUUUCACAUUGUGAAUCCCGUGAAUUUCGUGCGCCGCGGCCUGGGUUAUUCCGGCUAGCAACGCGAAAGCGGCUCCCGGAGUCCCAGCCAUGUUGGGUCCACCGAGCGCGGACACUUCGUCAUCUUCGUCUACGUCCUCUGGCGAGGAGGACACUGCAAAUACGGUCCAGCGCUUCCUUCAUGCAAUCCCUCAAUCCUUGACCGUCCCUGUGAGGAUGGUACGAAGAGAUCCCGACAGCAAAGUAGCCCUCCGGCAUGCCGUAACUGAGCCCGUAGCCAUCCGGAACCACCGGAGCGAAUCCUCCUCCGCUGAAUGAAGUUCCGUACAGGGUUGAGGUUGAGACGAUGAAGUGAUUGGCCUUGACAUAGCCUGGGUCACGAUACAGCUCGGGAAGUUGCCCCCCUCUUUCCUCAGCCAUCACCCGCAGUGCAAAGAGGUGUCUGUCGAAGCCCUGGCCUGCAGAGAGCAUGAGAGACUUAUGAAACCUCGUACAACAACUUACAGUGAUCUUUUCUUUUUUUUUUUAUCUAGUGGCUCAUCUGCGAUGCUCAUUCCCUUGCCAGAGUACUUAAAAUUUGUGUGCUAUA